rnacentral:siRNA from 1 species
UAGAAGCGACGCAUGCGCCCGCCG